AUAGUACUCCCUUCGUCUGAAAAAGCUUGUCUCUCAAAUGGGUGUAUCUAACACUAACUUGAUGCUAGAUAUAUUUAUUUAGGGGACAAGUUUUUUCGGACGGAGGGAGUAUGUU
rnacentral:pre_miRNA from 1 species